rnacentral:tRNA from 1 species
AGAUUCGUAGCUCAAUCGGAAGAGCACCCGCCUGUCACGCGGGAGGUAGCGGGAUCGAAACCCGUCGGGUCUG